rnacentral:rRNA from 1 species
UUCCAGACUCCUACGGGAGGCAGCAGUGGGGGAUAUUGCACAAUGGGGGAAACCCUGAUGCAGCGACGCCGCGUGGGUGAAGAAGCGCCUCGGCGCGUAAAGCCCUGUCAGCAGGGAAGAAAAUGACGGUACCUGAAGAAGAAGCCCCGGCUAACUACGUGCCAGCAGCCGCGGUAAUACGUAGGGGGCAAGCGUUAUCCGGAUUCACUGGGUGUAAAGGGAGCGUAGACGGCGACGCAAGUCUGGAGUGAAAGCCCGGGGCCCAACCCCGGGACUGCUCUGGAAACUGCGUCGCUGGAGUACGGGAGGGGCAGGCGGAAUUCCUAGUGUAGCGGUGAAAUGCGUAGAUAUUAGGAGGAACACCGGUGGCGAAGGCGGCCUGCUGGACUGUGACUGACGUUGAGGCCCGAAGGCGUGGGGAGCAAACAGGAUUAGAUACCCCCGUAU